GAUGAACGCUGGCGGCGCGCCUAACACAUGCAAGUCGAACGGCACCCCUCCUCGGAGGGAAGCGAGUGGCGAACGGCUGAGUAACACGUGGAGAACCUGCCCCCUCCCCCGGGAUAGCCGCCCGAAAGGACGGGUAAUACCGGAUACCCCGGGGUGCCGCAUGGCACCCCGGCUAAAGCCCCGACGGGAGGGGAUGGCUCCGCGGCCCAUCAGGUAGACGGCGGGGUGACGGCCCACCGUGCCGACAACGGGUAGCCGGGGUGAGAGACCGACCGGCCAGAUUGGGACGGAGGCACGGGCCGGGCACCUUCCGGAAGGAGCAGUGGGGGAACUUGGGCAAGGGGGGGAAGCCUGAAGGAGCGGCGGCGCGGGCGGGACGGAGGCCGUCGGGGCGGAAACCGCUUUCAGGAGGGGAGAGUCAAGACGGUACCUGGAGAAGAAGCCCCGGCUAACUACGUG
rnacentral:rRNA from 1 species